CCCCUAGUAACUGCGAGUGAANCGGGAAANGCUCAAAUUUGAAAUCUGGCGGUCCCGCCGCCCGAGUUGUAUUCUGGAGAAGCGUUUUCCGUGCCGGACCGUGUACAAGUUUCCUUGGAACAGGGCGUCAUAGAGGGUGAGAAUCCCGUCUCUGACACGGACCCCCGGUGCCAUGUGAUGCGCUCUCGAAGAGUCGAGUUGUUUGGGAAUGCAGCUCAAAACGGGUGGUAAAUUCCAUCUAAAGCUAAAUAUUGGCGAGAGACCGAUAGCGAACAAGUACCGUGAGGGAAAGAUGAAAAGCACUUUGGAAAGAGAGUAAAACAGUACGUGAAAUUGUUGAAAGGGAAACGCUUGAAGUCAGUCGCGUCUGCCGGAACUCAGCCUUGCUUCUGCUCGGUGCACUUUCCGGUUGACGGGCCAGCAUCGGUUUCGAGCGGUGGACAAACGUGUGGGGAAGGUGGCAGCUCCGGCUGUGUUAUAGCCCCAUGCCUCAACACGCUGCUUGGGACCGAGGAAUCCGGUGCAAGCCUGGGAUGCUGGCGUAAUGGCUUUAAACGACCCGUCUUGAAACACGGACCAAGGAGUGCUACGUGCUCGCGAGUGUUUGGGUGGAAAACCCGAACGCGCAAUGAAAGUGAAAGUCGAUACCCCUCUUGGGGGCACCGACGCCCGAGCCUGAUGUUUUCGGAAGGCCUUGCGGUAGAGCGAGUGCGUUGCGACCCGAAAGAUGGUGAACUAUUCCUGAGGAGGGCGAAGCCAGAGGAAACUCUGGUGGAGGCUNGUAGCGGUUCUGACGUGCAAAUCGAUCGCAGGACUUGGGUAUAGGGGCGAAAGACUAAUC
rnacentral:rRNA from 1 species